rnacentral:lncRNA from 1 species
CCAUGGCAUGCCGAAGUUCCUGGGCAAGGGUUGGAAUCAGUGCCACAGCAGGGACCUGAACCAUAGCAGUGACAACUCUGGAUCUUUUUACCACUAGGCUACCAGGAAACUCCUAGAUUUUAUACAUACUUACAGUAAAAUUACAAAGUCAGAUAUGUCUGUUCUCUGGACCACUGAUUUUUCAUUUUCUCCCUCUGCAUUAUCAAUCUAAUGACUUGAAAAUCAAAUCAUAUAUGCCAUAAUUACCUCAUAAGUGCUUUAGAAAAUACAAAAUUGAGGAUAUGGUAAAGAAAGUAAGACUUUUUUUUUUCCUUUUAGGGUCACACCCAUGGCAUAUGAAAGUUCCCUGGCUAGGAAUCUAAUUAGAGCUGCAGUUGCCAGCCUACACCACAGCCACAAUAAAAAAGUAAAUAUUCUUGCUUUUUGUAACAUUAACUUUGAACUUGACUGAGAAUGUCUAGCGAGAAUAAAGUGAUGUUAAAAGAUCACUGGCACCAUAGGAAAAAUGAAAAAGAAAGUAAACUCUUGAGGUAGAUUAUCUAUAUUUCAAAUUAUUCUCUCCAGAAUGUUUUGUAUAUUAUUUACAAAUUAAAUGUAUUUAAUCAUAGCACCUAUUUCUAUCACUACCUGUAUUAUAUCUUUUCUCCUAAUACUGAAUGUAUUUUACUAUAUUAGCAUUGUCUGUUUUAAUUUUCCCUCCAAUACAAAAACCUAUGUUAAGGAAAUAUUCUAAUAAGAUUCAAAAAGAAUGCAAAAGAAAUUAAGAUUUAGACUUAUUACUUGUGUAACAUUAGAUAAAAUUUUUAACUACUCUCUUCCUUUCUUUUUCUAUAAAAUGAAACUAAUACCUACUUCAUAAGAUUAUUGUGAAGAUUAAACGAUCGAUAGCUAUAAUGCAAAUAGAAAUCUCUCUGGUUCAUAAUAAAUACUCCAUAAAUGCUCAGUUAUGCUUUUCUUUUUCUGUAAAUGCUCGCACCAUAGUCAUUACUAAUUUAUUAUACACUCAUCACCCUCAGGACUAUGAUAGGCAUGUGAAAUGUCCUUUAUAUAUGGGUUGCAUUAAUGGUUCAUUAAUGGAUAGAUGAAUAAUUGCACCAGUUUCCAUAAUUUCAGCUGCCGAUGAUUCUCUGGUUUUUAAAAUUGCAAGCUCAGACACCUCUCCUAAGAUCCAGACUCAUAUUCCUAAUUGCCUAUUAGCAACUCCACCAAAAUGUCACCGGAAUCUCAAGCUCAACAGUUUGUAAUAGAAUGCAUAAUGUCCCUCCCAAGCCCACAUGAUAAAACAUACACAUACUCUCAUACAUACACACACACACACACAUCAGGGAGAGAUAAUUUUCUCUUACUCUAUAUCCUAUCUCAAUGACUGACAUCAUGAGCUCCUGAAUCACCCCUACAAGAAUCGAGACAGUCACCCUUUUAUCCCUUUCCCCAUGCACCUGACACAUCCAGUUAUUUUGCCUUGAUGGUUUUACUGCCUUAAUUUGUUUCAAAUUAUCAUCUCUUCAUCUACACUGACCUUCCGCAUCUACCUCAGUGGGAAUACAGACAUUGAUUUCAGCCAGGGCCCCCUACUUCAGGUUUCCACUAUUACAGGGCAUUUUCCACAGUCCAUCAAAAUCAUUUUUCUUUUUAAAUCUUGUAUUUAAAUGUUUUUGACAAACUAAACCCAUUUUUUUAUUAUAGUCCUGCUUAAUUGGCAAAAUAUUCACUGAAGAUACACUUCAAUUUUACACAUGUUUGUAAAUAGAAAAAUACAUUGACACAAAAAGACAGUACUUCAAUAUACAUGUAAACACAUGCUUUCCAAAUAGAGUACAGAAUAAAAUAUUAAUUCGAAAGGAAAAGAGGCAUACACCCUGAUGUUCAUAGCAGCAUUAUUUACAAUUUACAAGAUAUGGAAGUAAAUGUAGUGUCCAUCAACAGAUGAAUGCAUAAGAAAGACAUGGUAUAUAUACACAGUGGAACACUAGUCAGCCAUAAAAAAUGAAAUUUGGCCAUUUUAAAAAACAUGGAUGGACUUGGAGUGUAUUAAACUAAGUGAAAUAAGUCAGAUAUAGAACGAUCAAUAGAGUAUAUCACUUAUAAAUAGAGUCUAAGAAAUAAAACAAACUAGUGACUAUAACAAA